rnacentral:lncRNA from 1 species
GUCCGAUUUUAACCCCUUAGGGCUGGCGCUACUUUCAUUCCUCGGGGCCAGCAUGAAGCUGCACGCAGAGAGUAGGUUUGAUGGCAGCAGCCCUUCUCUUCAUUGGUGAUUAUUUCCACCCUGCCUUGAACGGUGCCAGCUCUGCGCUUCAGCUUUCCCUGGUUUGCACAGUACUCCUGUCUGAGCCCGGGCGAAGUCGCGGCACAAGCGCCUUAGCUAUGCUUUGUGAACAGAAUCCUACUGAUCCCUGUGGGACUCUGGAGAAGACACCUGCCACCCCUGUGCUGCAAAGGCUUCUCAGAUCCAUCAUCAAGCUGAAAUGAAGACCUUGGAGGCUGAAGAAAGCUGAGUGCACCACUACGUUGCUUCGGAGAAAGGAACUACUGGUCCAGCCAACCUUUCUCCUGACAACUUUUGGUAGCUUUAAAUUGCCGGUUGCUUACCUUGAAAGACACAGUUAUUGCUUUUUUCAGCACACAUGGAGGAAGGCAGAAAAGUGUGUAACCCUGGCUAAUCAAACUUUGGCUUUCCUAUGAAGAGCAGAAGGCCAAUCAUAAAAGAAUUAUUUCACAGUUAGCCUCCUGGACUUUACUUCUGACCUGAUCACUGGACACAAAUACAAGCCGAUUCCAACAAUCUGAGUUUUCACUACCUGUUCUUUAUCAUUGUUUUAAUUUCUCUUUCUUUGGUAU